GCCUAUCUUACUUCCGGUGUUAUUUUGGCGGUCGAAACAAGUUGUCGGCUGCAACAUACAUUACAUUUUGUGACGAUGAAGCUUUGCGCUAUCACUGCAAUAUGCCGAUAUGCCCAAGUCAUACAAAUGUGCUGUUUGUGGUAGGACACAUUUGAAGCAGAGGCGACCUAUCAAAACAAAAGAGCUGAAAAGAUAUGUGACUAAAUUAAUCAACAGAGAAAUUCAUAUUGAUGAUGUGAUUUGUAAUAAGUGUAGAGCUCAGUACAGUAAAACUGUGAUUAAAUCAGAAAAGACACAAAAAGAAGCGUCCCUCAUUGAAGGUGUUAUAUCAGAGGAGGAGGACUCAAAUUUUUUAGUCAAUAUUGAAACUUCAACUGCAGAACAUUUGCAAAGUCCCAAGAAUAUAACAUUAAAAGUUCACUCGACUACAUCCUCUCAUAAGUACUGUGUAAUUUGCAAAGAAUAUCUCAGCAAAGGAAGAAAAUCAUCUGUUGUACCUCUAAAUGCCAGAACACAAUCAUUUAUCGAAAAAGGAAUAUUCAUAAACAGCAAAGCACGUUGUUGUGUUAAUCAUUUGAUUAACAAAUUAUUUACAAAGGAAUCACUGAAGCUACUAAAAUCCAAAUAUAUAGAAACUUCAUUCAACAGAACUGAUAUUGUAACUUUAUUGGAAAAUGUAAGAAAAACUUUGGCCCUCUCCAGUUGCUUAAACUUUGAGAAUGUGCAUCUAUUAUCAGACAGUGUAUGUUACAGUUUAACUGGAAUUACAAAAGAAAACUUUGAAGACAUUGUAUCCCAUUUAUCAACUUUGAGAAACAGCAGUGUUCGGACAAUCAACACCUGUGUUGCCAUUUUACUGACAAAGCUCAGAACUGGUUUGCCAAACCAUCUAUUGGGUGUUAUAUUUUCUCUCUCCAAAGGUCAGAUUCAGAGAUGUAUUCACAGUGGAAGGAAUUGUUUGAUGAAAGAUUUUGUACCCCUACACAUUGGAUUUCAACAUAUAUCACAUGAAGAUUUUGUUUCCAGGCAUACUACGCCUCUUUCCAAACAAUUAUUCUCAAGUCAUGAUGAUGAUGCUGCAAUUAUUGUCUUGGAUGGCACCUAUGUGUACAUCCAGAAGAGCUCAAACUAUACCUUCCAAAGGAUGUCAUAUAGCUUGCAUAAACAUAGACCCUUAGUUAAACCUAUGGUCAUUGUCGGAACUGAUGGUUAUAUUUUGUCCAUUUUGGGACCUUACUAUGCGAAAAACAAUGAUGCCUUAAUCACAAAACAUAUUCUGAAAACUAAUACCCUGGCUGAAUGAUAAUGAUAUUUUCAUAGUAGACCGAGGAUUUAGGGAUGUGUCUGGAUAUCUCAUUGAGGAGGGAUAUGAAGUAAAAAUGCCACAAUAUCUUCAAAAAGGCAACAGUCAGCACAGCACAGAAGAGGCUAAUACAAGUAGACUUGUGACAAAAGUGAGAUGGGUAGUUGAAAGUGUCAAUGCAAGGAUUAAACAAUGGAAAUUCUUUGAUAAAGUAGUUUCCAACCAUUACAUACCAUACAUUGGCGAUUUUCUACGUAUCGUUUGCGCAUUAUUUAACUGCUACCGUCCACACUUGGCAGACAUGGAUUCUUCCUCUAAAGAAAUAGCAAAGAAAAUGUUGGAGAGAAGUCUGAAGGGAAAUGAUGUUCAGAAAAUGGUUGAAGAGGAAGGACUGCUAAGAAAAAGAUCUGUUUUCAAAAAAGUUAAUAUGAACACCAGUGAUACUGCAGUUCCCUUGCCUGAAUUUCCCAUAUUGUCUAUGGAAAAGCUGAGAGAAAUUACAUUUGGAAUAUAUCAGUUAAAAGAGGCAAAAAACUAUGUCUUGGAUAAUUUUACAGAAGACCAGUUUGAAGUGUUUGUGUGCAAUUCAGUUGAAAACCUACUGAGAGUAAAACUGAGAUCAAGACAUUCUAACAGUGUCCGCCACACAGCGUUCAUCCAUUUUACUUUAGAUGGCGAAAUUAGUGGCUGGUACUGCACAUGCAAAGUAGGGGCACGUGUUGUGGGAUGCUGUGCCCAUGUAGCCAGUGUCCUCUGGUAUCUUGGAUACUUUCGCUUUCUAGGAACUCAACUUCAUCCUUUGAAGUUUCACGGUAGUAUGACUGAUGCCAGCCUCCUUUCAGAAACGGACAGUGAAAGUGAGAGUGAGGAAAUCCCCGAAGAGUGAAGUUGAAGACAUGUUGCAUGGUUAUAGUAUUUGCAUUUAUGUAUGUAUCUUACUGAAUACCUGAACAUGAUAAUCUUAUUGUGGUAAUUACUGAUUUCAACUGUUAACUGUGCUGAAAAGAAUUCUUUGUCAAAAAUUAGUACACAAGU
rnacentral:sRNA from 1 species